GGAAAUGGAACGCGUGAGGCCAAACAAGGAACAAUCCCCGGGUUGUUGGCUGAGCCAACAGGCUGCUGUCGCCGUGUGAGCGAACGCGCGGAUUACCCCGUUAGGAGGAAAUGGGCGAUGAUGGGGCGAUAAACGCGCCCGCUGUGUGACCACAAUUGAUUUGCAAUUGACCGAGCGCCGCUCCCGACCCCGCGCCCGCCCCGGUCUCUCGGGCUGGGAAGCUCCCGGGGGCCGAGGCCGCGCUCCUCCGCCUGCUCGGACUGGGCGGUCGGUCCCGCUGUUACCCGCGCGGUGAUGGUUGUGACCGCAAUCAGAACUUUCCCAAAAGUAGCAGGUGGUUAUUUUAGCGCUAAUUUAGUUAACGCCAUUGAGAAAAGUCUUAGGGGAUCGAACAAUGCCCGGUGAAGAAAACGUCUGGCACAGGACUCAGUGAGGAUAGAGGUUUAAAAAGUCUCCAGUCUUGGAUGCGAUGCUCCAUUUUAAGAAGUGACUUUUUUUUUGUGUGGUGGCUGCUUGAAGCGCACCUUAUUUAAAAAUCCCUACAGAAUGUAAAACUGAGUGAGUCUAGUCGGGGGAGCCGGGCGAGUCUGUAAAUUACCGCUCUGUCAGGAUUCCUCUUGCCUCUUACAAAGUACCUUUUUAUGCUGAACUUAAACUUUACACUACAGAGACAGCAGAUGUGAGGUGAUGGCUUCCAAAAGCAACACAGAUGCUGUAAAAUUUCCAUUGCUGUAUUUCAGCGAGGAAGCUCAGGAGACAUGCUGAAUGCUGCAGUUUAGAAUUACACUGUAACUCUCCUAGAAAUAAGAGAAUACUAAGUUUCUCAACAGUACAUUUGGCUUCAUUUUGGCUGUCAUUCAUGUGCUCUUGUUUUCUUACAGCGAGAAGAGAUGAAGCACAAAGAUACUGUGUGUCUUGAAGCUGUUCAGUAAUGACAGAAUUGGUAAUAUGGAACUUUAUGGUAAUUUAGUAAUGACUGCAUAUCCAAAUUCCCCAGUAAGACCAUGAUAAUUUUCAAAAUUGUCUUUCAGGUAUAUAAAACAGCACAGCUGUGAGGAGGCUGCUUUGCUUUAUGUGACUGAAAAGCAGCUUGGUUAGCUCAACACUGUGGAAUCAGAGCCCAUUGUGUGUUCCUCAUACUUGGAGACUUCCCUGAAGUCCCUAGAAGUUCUGUGAUGAAGGAAUCAAGGGUCAAGUCUUUAAAAUGGUUUGUGUGUUUAUUCCAGAAAAUUCAGCAGCUGCUUUUUCUGAAAAGCAGAACUUUGCUAUAGCAAUGCAGAAUACUUUAGAGCACUUUUUCCCCCUGGGAUUUCAAAACAGAUGUCCAGUCAUCAAAUCCUGCAAAAAUAUGAAGCUGGCAAGGAUGUUACAGAUAUUAUAACUUUUUACAAAGUUACAGAUUUGACUUGUUGUCAAAUCUAGUCACUUUCCGACUGGUCUUUGUCACUACAGGUCUUUGCUGCCACAGAUACUCACCCUCUUUUAGUCAAAUAAUUCGGUUUGGUACUGGCCCCUCUAACAUAAGCUUCAUUUUUCUGUGUAUCUGAGGCUUUGCAUUUGGGAUUAUAUGGAUCCCAGGUAAUGGUAACCACAGGACAUUUUAGUUCAAAAUAAGUAAAUUUGCCUUUUUUUUUUUUAACUGGAAGUAAAAAUGCCGCAUGAAAUCUUGGUUUUAACAUGCUAUUUUGUUUAUGUAAAAAUAGAGACGUUUAGUUUAUAAGAUUGAAGAAAAAUUGCUUUUUAAUUCCCACUGAAUGUUCUCCAGUAAAUUUUAGUGUGGCAUUGUCUGCACUGGAUAGGUCACUGAAUGGUGCUUUUAUAAAAGUGUUUGAAAAGAAGAACUUGGUCCAUGGAAAUUGUUCAAAUAAUCUUGUUAGAAUGAAGCCUUGACUGAAGGCAGUAAUUUCAUGGAUUAAACCCAGAAGGGCUGGCUGGGCUGAUCUCCUUCCUAUCACAGGCCACAGAGCUUUGUGCAGAGACUGUCUAAGCAAAUGCUGGUUAGCUGCAAGACAUGGGGGAUUUUGCAUGGACAAUACAUUGAACAACACCAUGAAACUGCAAACUGGAACUUUGUGAGGACAGGAUAAAUAGGAGCUGGAAGAAAGAGUAUUUUUACAGGCCGUUUAGUAAACACAGUGAGGUAGAGUUGUUGCAUCUAACUAUGUUCAGAUUUCCCUUAAAAAGUUCCAAUUAAAAUUAAGAGAGACUGUUUCCCUUCCCCCCCCCCAGUCAAUCCUUUUCUCUCACAUGCCACAUGUGGUCCAGAACUGAGCAACAUGAUGGCACAACCAAGGAAUUGCCUGGUUUGUACUUCUGCAAGUCCGAAAAGCACAAAUUAUGAGCAAAAAUCCAGUGCUGUGAAAGCUGAAGAGAAAUAGAGAUAGAAGAAUACAGUGUGCAUCUGUCUUACAGUCCAAUAUUUUUCCAUUUAUAAAAAUAAAUAAAUAAAUGGCAUUCAUACAUCUUCUGAGUCAGCCUGUACUUUAUUGUGAUUCAUGAGAACUUUUUGUAGGCAAGAACAAUGUUCUGCUUGCAUUUCUUCAGGCAUGUCAGAUCUGAUUGGGGAUGGGCACAGUACCAUGGUGGUGCUGCUGUUGUUCAGUGAGAUACAAGAGAGACUUCAGGAAACCAGAAAAUUGGCUGACUACAAUGUGCUGCCACAGCUACUCCUGGAGUGCAGUGAGCAGGUGACAGAGGAGGAAGAGGAGAAACUUCUGGAAGAGUACUUUGUUAUUGCUUUGUCAUAAAGGAUGAUCACAAAGGGUUUGAUCACUGCUGUGGUCUGAGUAUUGCUCUGACACUGAAGCUGCGAGUUGUGGCCCUGAAUGUGGCUGGAGGAUUUUCUGCUGACCAUGUUUAAAUUUCUUCCUGAGGCUGCUUUGAGUGCAUGGGCUGCACUAGAGAAGGAGUAUGAGCUGCAGAAUGAGUGUAAGGACUUUGGGAACAGUUUAGCAUGAGGGCAGUAUAAGAUGAGCUCCUAUUGAAGGGCUUUAGCCCUGCUCUCCCACACUGUGCAGUUGGUGAUUGGGCUGCAAAGUAUUGGCACUCUCAGUGUAAUUGUAUAUUGCUUCCAUUCUCAUUAGUGAAACAAUGCAGGAGGAAGGAAUACAAAAAAAUACAGAUUAUAAAGAUUGUGAAGGAAAAUCAGUGUUCUUGAGGUUUUUUUCUAAAAUGCUGUAUUUUUCUUUUCCCACCACUAGUUAGCAAGCUGCAUUUAUAAUCCACCUGUGCUGCCGAUUGUAAUACCUCAUGGUGUGGUGUUUCACACAUGAUAAAUCACAGGACUUGUGAAGACAAAUUGCACUGAAUUAAACAGUCUGUUGAUCCACUGUCACUGGAUGUCAGCUGUCUGUUGCUCCAUUGUCAUUGUCUCUAUUUGGAGAACAACACAAACUCCAUACAGUUGAAUUGCUGACCAUAAUGUAUGUGAGGUUGUAAGGACAGAGUGAGUAGUGCUGUCUUCCUCUGAUCACCCAGGUAACCAUGAAUUUACUCUUGGGCUACUGCUAGAACAUUAGUAUGUAAAUGCACUCCUGAAUCUCAGGAUGGUUAUGUGCAUUCAGGUUGGUAAGGUAUUAACCACCAGUCUGGUUUCUGGGGGUUAAUAUGAGAGUAUAAACUUGCCCCACUCUGAGAAUAAACAUGCGCCAUUCUCUUCUCAAAGUGGAAGCAUGUCCAGGCCUCUGGCACACCAGUGACUCCUGCAGUUAUGUUUGUGGUUCUGUGUCCAUGCUCCACCAAAAUGUAAUUAGUGCUCAUACAUGCUGGAAUGGCACAUUCACCAUCACUACUCCCAGCAUGGGCUGGGAAGUCCAUUUGGUCUUCAGUUUUGGAGACCUCACUUUUAAUGACUUGUGUACAAACCCCUGCAAAUCUUCUGGUAAAUACCCACUGCUGUUCCAUUGCCCCCUGCCUUGCCUGUCUGGGAUGUGGCCCUCUGGGAUGGGCAGCUUCCAAAUUCCAACUCCCACCUGGCCUUAAGAUGGCAUGACCCGCAGGUACCUGGACUUUGAUGUCACAGCUUUGGGGGAAUUAAGGGACUCCAUCAUUAACUUGACCUCCUUGACUUUGUUGCUCAGUCCAUGCUUGGGUGGUAGGAGAUGAGUGAAUAGCACAUUUAACUCUGAGUGUUGGUUCUGACAGGGUGAAAGGAAGGGCCCCAGCAGAGGGGAUGGGGAGUGCAGGGUGUCUCUCAUGAGGGGUUAGUCACGUUUGGGGUGGCUCAGCUGCCACACUCACACAGCUGUGGGGGCACUCCUGGCAGGAAACCCUGCCCAGCCUGUGUGCAGCUCUGUGCCAGCUCACCCAGCCUGGUGGGAGAAGGUUGGUGCAGGGACAAGAUCAAGCAGUGUAGUCCUCCUUGAGCCAAGAACUUCUGCAUAAACUGCACGGAGACAUUAGCUUGCACAUAUACCUCUCACAUGCUGUGUGUAAAUUACAUGAGAAACUAAAGAGGUGGUGUGCUUAUGAGUAAGAAGUGAACUGAUGGAAAAAUGAUGCUUUGUUUUGAAAGGCAUGCAAAAGAAUAAAAACCAGAUAUAAGAAAGCAAAACUUUGUAUGAUUGAUUUGAAGAGAAACAUGUCAUUAAAUCCUUGAACAAUGUGAAGUUGGUCAUCAAUUCUGAUACUAUAUUUUGCACCUUGGAGGUCAGUGAAACUGUAAGUUAAGGGAAUAAUGUUUUGCAUAUGUUUGAAGUAGACAUUUUUUUAAGUUUCACUGUUUCCAAUCCCAAUUUUUGAUGGAUGCCCAGUAGUAAUUUUUAAAAUACUGAAUGACAAAAUCACAUUUUAUCCAGGAGAUAAAAUUGAAAUAACAGACGUAUCUUUCAUCACUACUUUUGAAUAUUUAUUCUUUGCAUUUCAUUUAUCCUAAACAUUUUUUUUAUUUCUAUAGUUAGACCCUGACUAAUUUUUCACUGUAUUGGUUUUGCUGGGACAACAGUGGCUGGUUAUUCCAAAUAUGAGUAAGGACAGCAAGCUUGGGCUUGUACUAAUUUUGAUUAAUAAAUUUGCCUUGAGAAUGACAAAUUGUGUUAGUACUUUUCACUUUAUAACAUUAGACAGUCAGAGAUGUUAACACUUUGUAGGGAAUGAGCAUUAGGCAGUGUUUGGAACUGCUUAUAGGGAGCUUUCAGGUGCCUGGUCUCAGGAGAAACUGCUAAAAACCUUUCUCUAUUUUUAUUUUAGUGAAAGAACGGUGUGAUUGAAAAGCAAGGUGUUGAAAGGAAUUUCACUGUAAUAGCAAAAUGUCCUUCCUUUCAUUUUACUCCCUGAGUUCUAAAAUAAGGAUAUUUCUUUGCCAGUUCCUUUGAAUUUUCUUGAUUCUGAGUUGGCAUAAUGAUGGCAGGAAUAGUCCAUAGAGGAAUAAUCCUCUCUGUGUAUGGUGAGGGGAAAGAAAGAAGUACCCCACUGGCAUGAGAUUUUCUGCAGUUGUCUUUUGUAGGUUCACAACAGUGUUACAGAAAGUGCAGUCUUGAUUGAUUUCUUGUUUUUUAUUUAUUUUCUUUAUACAUUUAUUUUGCAGUUGGGGUGAGGGGAUGCAAUUGUAUGUCAGGAAGCAGCCACAAGGGGAGAGAAAUACUAGAAAUUUAGUUGUAACAUUUUUCCUGGUAGUAUUAGUUGGGUGUUUCUCUGUCUUGGUCUGGUCAGGGCUUGGUUUUGGAUGAAAGGCUUUCAGUUCUUCCAGGGGAUUGUGGGGUUCCAAGAAAAGGGAUGAUAAUAGCCGUGUAGGGAUAGCUGAUGCUUUUUAUUGUAUUAGUCUUAUUGGAUUUAUUCCUUCUGGUUUACUUUACUGAAAAGAGAACCCUGGAAGGGAAUAAUAACUGGAGUGUCUUAUUUUCUUGCCACUUUGUUAAUUUUGCUAUACAUAUUUUUGUAUUAUAGAUUUCUUACUCAGUAAGUGUAGCCAUUGUAUGAAUCUUAUCUUCAUCCUUUGCUUUUGUAAGGUAGGCUGGUUGGUCUUUUAUACGUUAGGGCUCAUACAUGAAGUUAUCACACCAUUCAGCUCUGUUUUUGUUUGGGUUUAGCUCCUUGGCUUUUGAACAGUCCUGCUCACAGAACUGUGAUGGAAAACUAGAACCAUUUUACUGCUGUUUAAUUUGUUUCUGAUUUGUGGGUGGGUGGGUCCAGGUGAUAUCUUUGAAUCUGCAGGUUAGUGAGAAAGAAAGACCUUUCUUGACCCAUGAAAUUUCCUGCAUGAAUUUUUGAUAAAAAAAUAAAAAUCUUUUUCUGUUUCUUUUUUGUCUUAAUUUUCCAGGAAACACAACAUGCUUUGACAGAACUCAGAGGACUUUGGAAGACUUUGUCUGGAAACAAAAACUUGUGCAUUUGAAAUGUGUUACUGUAGUCCUCCUGUGACAUUACAGCCUGGAUGCCUGCUGGCCCUGCUCUGCAAGGCUGAGGCUGCCUUCCACCUUUGACAUUGUGCCAUGAUCUUCCUCCCUGAAGGGAUGGGGAAUCCCUCAAAAUGAUCUGUCCUCAGAAUUCUCAUUUAAAUGCAUUUUACUGUGUUCAGAAUGCUAAUUCCCACUGGACUCCACUCACUCGAGUAUGUGCAAACUCAGUUUCUUUCAAGGGGAUACUGACCUAAGUGGACCUUUGAUCUGAAUUGUCAUAGCUAUCCUUGGAUGAGGAGAAGUACACUGACAAAUGAAAUAAAAUUACUCCUGCACUUCCUCAUAUCCGAAUGCAGCAUUUUGCAAAAAAACCCCUAAGUGAUGUUGCAACACGUGGAUCUCACAAGAGGAUGCUCUGGAAGGUGCCGCACUGUUUCACAGAGCCUCGGUGAGACCCUGUGCUGAUGUGAAGCUGUUUAUAGCCACAGGCUGGGUGCUAGAGGUGCUUGGGGUGCACUUCUCCCCCAGCUCGGCUCGUUGGUUAGGAAAGAAAAGCCUUGUGGCUGUACUCGAAGGAAGAACUCAGGAGAGGAUUCAGGGAUCUCCUGCCAGGCCUGCAGUGUGUGCUAGAAGUGCUCUGAGAGGACUGAUCCAUAGCCUGGACUUACAGGUUCUACAGUGACACAAAUGGCACAUGAUAAUUGUGUGUGGAGAAGGGCUGGCAGCUUUACAGAGGAAAUUUCUGGACCUGUGCAUAAGUUCAGAAUAAGCAACUGCCUGUAGCUUCCCUUCCCCCAGACAACUGAAUCUUUUUACUGAGUGUCAUUAAAUGGUCCUACGUGUGGGACAUGAAAUGUAUUUAUGGUAGAGUGAGAGUUUUGUUCUGAGUCACUGGUGCAUCAAGAGUUUCUUCACAAUGUUCUUGUGGCUGCCUGACCAGUGAGACAGAACCAUGAGAGACACAGACCCCGUGGGAACGGUCCCUGAACCCCACCUGGCUGAGAUGUGGAGGUGCCUAGUUCCUGUAGAAGUGAGUGGGACUUUAUGUUCUUAAAUAGAAUUCAGCAACCUAAAUACCUUGUAAUUCUCCAUGUAUAAAUCUUAGUUGUAAUAUAGCCUCCUAACUCCCCACACAUCCCUGCAUUCUUUCAUACAUGUUUCUCUCUUUGGCAGUUUGGAUGCUUAAUUAUGUUUCUGUUUUGGGAGCUGUUUCUUGCUAAUCUUAUCCUGUAUUUCUCUGGGAUCUCUGUUCCUCUUCAGCUCUUUCCAAUCUUACAAUUUCUCUACAUAAUAAACACACUUAAUUUCCAGUGACUGGCUUCCCUCUUACCAUGGCAGGUGUGAGCCAUAGGACUGCUGGUAUUUUUAGAGCACCUUGUAAAGAUGCUAUAAAAGGAAUCAUUAGGGCUCAAAAUUGACAGGGAUUUGAUGAUUUUGUCCAAUCUACUUUUUGACCAACUGUAGGAGGAUAGAAUAUAAGUAAAUAAAGGUAGUAUAAAAAGUAAUCUUACUCCCUAAAGAGUUGCAGCUGAGCCAAUUAUUAAAGAUUAGGAGCAGGCCUGAUUUUUACAGGCCACAGCUGUAGCCAAUAAGAAGAGUGUUAUGAAAGAGUGGAUUGGUAGGGACUGGUGUCAGUUGGCUGCUGUGAGGACACGGAAGAGUCAGUGCCUGGAGGAGAUGCCUACAAGAAGCAUCAAGGAGGUAUGGAACUCUUGCAAUAUAGAACUCUUGCAAUGUAAUGAUAACAACCAACCCAUAUUCAAGUUGCAUGUUAGCCAAAUUCUACUUCAUUUGAGUGCCAAAAAGGGCAUGGUGGGGGUGUGUGUUACAGGUAGUUCAAGGAUGCAGAACCUUGUACCAGCCUAAUGUUUUUGUCAUAGGAACUACUCUCUGCUCUGCUGUUUGCUCUUCUGAAACCAGCAAUAGUAAACCAGGGCAUAAAUCAACAUAACACUUUCUUCCCAUGCUAAGCUUUAUCUUAGUUUUAGGAGUAGGAUGUAGUUUGGGUAGGGAUUUAAGUGCUUAGAUAUUGCAGAUUCCUUUGCAUUCCUGAAAUGUUUUCCUUCUUUCUGGCCAAUAAAGUAACAUGAAUUAAUUAAUUAAAGAAAUUAAUGUGAUUGACUGUUUCUUGUGGCUCAGGGAUUCAUGCUGUUUGGCUAAUUGAUGGCUAUGAGUGUUGCAUGUGUAAGUAGUUAUAAACACUUUGUUUUAUUCAUGCUGACUUUAUCACAGAGCAUCUUAGUUUGUACUGAGGAGCACUCCAGGUAGACCAUGGCCUGUGCAUUCCACCCCAGUGAGGGGUGCUCUCAAAGGGCUUUUUGUUGCUCUGUCAGCUCUAUCAGCCAAAACAUAUUCCAUAAACCAUCUCAUAGGAUCGGAGAGUGACUGAACUGGAGAUGGACAGAAUAUGGUAAAUUAUGUUAGGAACAGGCUGGUGAUCCUUGAGGGACCCUCUGCAAUAUGGCCUGUGGCAACAUAUCUUCUUCCAAUCAUCUCUUCAGCUCUGGAGUUCUUGCCAUGUAAUAGAUUUAUAUGUUUAAUUGUCUUUUCUUUAAAGCUAUCCAAAUGCUUUCAAACCAAUAUUGUUAACUUUCUACCUAACGAGGCUGAUAAAAAUGAAAGAUGUUUGUACUUGGUUGGCUUCUUCCAUGAUCUGGGAUUCAUCUGGGAAUUCGAUCUAUAGAAUCUCUUAGAAUUAUCCAAGUAUUUCUGAGUGCCAAAUAUAACCAACUGAAAUAUCCAGAGAUUAGUAGUUUUCAAACAAUUUUUAGACUAAAUCUCAAAGUCACAGCAAUUUUUUAAAAUAGAACUGUUGGUGCUUCCUAUUCACAGGAUUUUUUGUGACAUUAAUGUAGUGUAAAUAGAUAAUUUUUACAUGGACAUGCAGAAUAUAAAUGGUUGGCUACUGAUACAUUUUCUUCUACUCUAUAUGUGUUAAUACAGUACCAUACCAGUGCUAUGGUCAUGAGAGAUUCUGCUGGUGGAAAACAUGAUCAUGGGAUUUGACCUCCUUGGAAGCAAGGACUUCUCCAGGUCAUGAA